UACGUAGGCAGCGAGCGUUGUUCGGAGUUACUGGGCGUAAAGGGUGCACAGGCGGUGGAGCAAGUCUGUUGUGAAAUCUCCCGGCUUAACCGGGAGGGUGCGGCGGAAACUGUUCUGCUGGAGUGAGGGAGAGGCAAGCGGAAUUCCUGGUGUAGCGGUGAAAUGCGUAGAUAUCGGGAGGAACACCAGUGGCGAAGGCGGUUAGCUGGCCUGUAACUGACACUGAGGCGCGAAGGCUAGGGGAGCGAACAGG
rnacentral:rRNA from 1 species